UGAGGGAAUAUUGGGACAAUGGAGGCAACUCUGAUCCAGCCAUGCCGCGUGAAGGACUAAGGCCCUAUGGGUCGUAAACUUCUUUUGACGCAGAGCAAUAAGGAUUACGUGUAGUCUGAUGAGAGUAUGCGUCGAAUAAGCAUCGGCUAACUCCGUGCCAGCAGCCGCGGUAAUACGGAGGAUGCGAGCGUUAUCCGGAUUUAUUGGGUUUAAAGGGUGCGUAGGCGGAUUAUUAAGUCAGCGGUGAAAGCGUGUGGCUCAACCAUACAGUUGCCGUUGAUACUGGUAGUCUUGAGUGUAAACGAGGUAGGCGGAAUGUGAUGUGUAGCGGUGAAAUGCUUAGAUAUGUCACAGAACCCCGAUUGCGAAGGCAGCUUACUAGGAUACGACUGACGCUGAGGCACGAAAGCGUGGGUAUC
rnacentral:rRNA from 1 species